CAGGACUCGACUCGUGUGCGGACAUUUCUGUUAAUAAUGACAGUCUCUGAUAGAUGAGUACAUGCAACUGUGUAAAACAAGUCUCUUGUUUUAGAUUCUACAAGGGGGUUGCUCCUCUCUGGAUGAGACAGAUACCAUACACCAUGAUGAAGUUCGCCUGCUUUGAACGUACUGUUGAAGCACUGUACAAGUUUGUGGUUCCUAAGCCCCGCAGUGAAUGUUCAAAGCCAGAGCAGCUGGUUGUAACAUUUGUAGCAGGUUACAUAGCUGGAGUCUUUUGUGCAAUUGUUUCUCACCCUGCUGAUUCUGUGGUAUCUGUGUUGAAUAAAGAAAAAGGUAGCAGUGCUUCUCUGGUCCUCAAGAGACUUGGAUUUAAAGGUGUAUGGAAGGGACUGUUUGCCCGUAUCAUCAUGAUUGGUACCCUGACUGCACUACAGUGGUUUAUCUAUGACUCCGUGAAGGUCUACUUCAGGCUCCCUCGCCCUCCUCCACCCGAGAUGCCAGAGUCUCUGAAGAAGAAGCUUGGGUUAACUCAGUAGAUGGAUCAAAGCAAAUGUGGACUGAAUCUGCUUGUUGAUCAGUGUUGAAGAAAGUGCAAAAGGAACUUUUAUAUAUUUGACAGUGUAGGAAAUUGUCUAUUCCUGAUAUAAUUACUGUAGUACUCUUGCUUAAGGCAAGAGUUCCAAAUUUACUGUUGAAAUAAACCUAACUCUUCAUGA
rnacentral:sRNA from 1 species